ACCUGGCUGGCUCAGUUGGUGGAGCAUGUGACUCUUGAUCUGGGGGUCAUGAGUUGAGUCUCAUGUUGGGUA
rnacentral:tRNA from 1 species